GCCGAGAGGAGAUGAGUGAAAGUGUCUCUCAAGGGAACUCCUCCUGCUCCUCCUCCUCCUCCACACGCGGCCAGAAAGCGCAGCGCCGUCACGGCCGGGCGUGAGCCCUGCACGAGGAGGAAGGUGGGUACCUCCUCCUCUUCCUCUGCUGUUCCCAGGUCUACAUCAACACUGGCAGGCCAAGUGACUGCUUCUCCUCCGCUGCGUGCCAUUGAUCGUGCAGGGCGCGUUGCCCACCGUGCCCCGCUGCACCGUACACGCGGAGAGGAACAAAGCCAACACGGUCGCGUUGCACGUGGAUACAACGCAACACGCCGGACGCGGACAACGCCUGCGGUGGCUCGGGCACGAGCGAGACAAACGUCGUCAUCACGGGGCAGCUGUCGGGGAGCUCAUCGCGCUGCUCACGCUCGCCCGGCCACUCGUACAGCCAGGCCUUCGCGGACAAGUGAAACGUAACGAAUAACUGAGUAAUUGCCUGUCCAUUGCGUGACGAUUAUGUUGUAGGGACACGAUGGAGAGAGAGAAAAAGGGCGUUUAAAUUUAUAAAUGGUGCAUCCGGUAAUAAGGUGUAAGGCUGUGCCGUGGA